AUUGAACGCUGGCGGCAGGCCUAACACAUGCAAGUCGAACGGUAGCACAGAGAGCUUGCUCUCGGGCGACGAGUGGCGGACGGGCGAGUAACGACUGGGAACCUGCCCGAUGGAGGGGGAUAACUACUGGAAACGGUAGCUAAUACCGCAUAACGUCGCAAGACCAAAGUGGGGGACCUUCGGGCCUCACACCCUAGGAUGUGCCCAGAUGGGAUUAGCUAGUAGGUGGGGUAAUGGCUCACCUAGGCGACGAUCCCUAGCUGGUCUGAGAGGAUGACCAGCCACACUGGAACUGAGACACGGUCCAGACUCCUACGGGAGGCAGCAGUGGGGAAUAUUGCACAAUGGGCGCAAGCCUGAUGCAGCCAUGCCGCGUGUAUGAAGAAGGCCUUCGGGUUGUAAAGUACUUUCAGCGGGGAGGAAGGCGGUGAAGUUAAUAGCUUAACCGAUUGACGUUACCCGCAGAAGAAGCACCGGCUAACUCCGUGCCAGCCGCCGCAGUAA
rnacentral:rRNA from 1 species